UUCUGUGUGUUCUGGUCUUACAAAGGGCUUCUUGAAAUGGCACUUAAUUCAGUACACGUGUUGUGUUCUGUGUUUUAGGUCUUACAAGUGCCCACUGCUCUUUAAUCUGAUGCAUUCUCUUACUGCCCUGUAACUGACCCUGGGCAAUACUGCGCCAAACCAGAGGCGGCAGACUGUACGGAACAUGGUGUCAUUCGCCCCUUCCAUGUACUGUGAACCAGAACUGUGUUGCGCACCCAUAUUUCACAAGUGUUCUUAAAUGUGGCACCUUUCUAUGUUCCCUUCUUUGCAGUGCCUUGAUGCACUUAGUAUUUUUAAUAAUAAAAGUGGUCACCGCCGCACUUGCAAUGACUUGUGGAGUUUCCAUUGACUUAUUCAAGGAGAAGGCUACAGAGAAGAACAUGGAAGUACCAAAUGACUUGCUGGGUCGGAUGGAACAGCAGGUGGAAGACCAUCCGCAAAAUUGAAUUUCCACAUUAUUUUAAAUAAAAUAUAAUUUGUUAGUGUA